AGUCGAGGGGCAGCAUUUUAGUUUGCUUGCAACUGAAGAUGGCGACCGGCGCACGGGUGAGUAACACGUAUCCAACCUGCCGAUAACUCCGGAAUAGCCUUUCGAAAGAAAGAUUAAUACCGGAUGGUAUACGAAUAUCGCAUGAUAUUUUUAUUAAAGAAUUUCGGUUAUCGAUGGGGAUGCGUUCCAUUAGUUUGUUGGCGGGGUAACGGCCCACCAAGACUACGAUGGAUAGGGGUUCUGAGAGGAAGGUCCCCCACAUUGGAACUGAGACACGGUCCAAACUCCUACGGGAGGCAGCAGUGAGGAAUAUUGGUCAAUGGGCGCGAGCCUGAACCAGCCAAGUAGCGUGAAGGAUGAAGGCUCUAUGGGUCGUAAACUUCUUUUAUAUGGGAAUAAAGUUUUCCACGUGUGGAAUUUUGUAUGUACCAUAUGAAUAAGGAUCGGCUAACUCCGUGCCAGCAGCCGCGGUAAUACGGAGGAUCCGAGCGUUAUCCGGAUUUAUUGGGUUUAAAGGGAGCGUAGGUGGAUUGUUAAGUCAGUUGUGAAAGUUUGCGGCUCAACCGUAAAAUUGCAGUUGAAACUGGCAGUCUUGAGUACAGUAGAGGUGGGCGGAAUUCGUGGUGUAGCGGUGAAAUGCUUAGAUAUCACGAAGAACUCCGAUUGCGAAGGCAGCUCACUAGACUGUCACUGACACUGAUGCUCGAAAGUGUGGGUAUCAAACAGGAUUAGAUACC
rnacentral:rRNA from 1 species